rnacentral:lncRNA from 1 species
GGAUGCUCAUCUUGACGUUUUAUUUAACUCAAAAAUACGAACACCAAAAUAACAAACAACAAACUCACGAUCAACACAACAGUCUUGUAAGGCUUACUCACGCUAAACAAGAAACAGGCAAAACAAGAAACAAUCUCCCACAAAAUACAAACCAAAACACACCCUAAUAUAUAGGACUCUCAAUCAAAGGCAAAGAGACAACACCUGCCUUCAAUUGAGAGUCCCAACCCCAAUUAACUAAACAUAGAAACAGAUUUACUAGACAAAACAUAGAAAUACAUGAAUAUGACACAGUGCCCAAAAAACCACGGAAUACAUAAAUCAAAUGCCCUUCUACAAAAACCACCACCCCGAACCACAUAAAACAAAUACCCUCUGCCACGUCCUGACCAAACUACAAUAACAAUUAACCCUUAUACUGGUCAGGACGUGACACCCCUCACUGUAUUGUAGAUAUGUGGUCUGAGGUAACACACUAAAUGUAUUGUAGAUAUGUGGUAGUAGAGUAGUGGUCUGAGGUAACACACUAAAUGUAUUGUAGAUAUGUGGUAGUAGAGUAGUGGUCUGAGGUAACACACUAAAUGUAUUGUAGAUAUGUGGUCUGAGGUAACACACUAAAUGUAUUGUAGAUAUGUGGUAGUAGUGGUCUGAGGUAACACACUAAAUGUAUUGUAGAUAUGUGGUAGUAGAGUAGUGGUCUGAGGUAACACACUAAAUGUAUUGUAGAUAUGUGGUAGUAGAGUAGUGGUCUGAGGUAACACACUAAAUGUAUUGUAGAUAUGUGGUAGUAGAGUAGUGGUCUGAGGUAACACACUAAAUGUAUUGUAGAUAUGUGGUAGUAGAGUAGUGGUCUGAGGUAACACACUAAAUGUGUUGUAGAUAUGUGGUAGUAGUGUAGUGGUCUGAGGUAACACACUAAAUGUAUUGUAGAUAUGUGGUAGUAGAGUAGUGGUCUGAGGUAACACACUAAAUGUAUUGUAGAUAUGUGGUAGUAGAGUAGUGGUCUGAGGUAACACACUAAAUGUAUUGUAGAUAUGUGGUAGUAGAGUAGUGGUCUGAGGUAACACACUAAAUGUAUUGUAGAUAUGUGGUAGUAGAGUAGUGGUCUGAGGUAACACACUUAAUGUGCUGUGAAAUCUGUUGUGAAAUGUAUUGUAAUGUUUUAAAAAUGGUAUAACUGCCUUAAUUUUGCUGGAACCAAGGAAGAGUAGCCGCUGCCUUGGCAGGAACUAAUGGGGAUCCAUAAUAAACCCCAGGAAGAGUAGCUGCUGCCUUGACAGGAACUAAUAGGGAUCCAUAAUAAACCCCAGGAAGAGUAGCCGCUGCCUUGGCAGGAACUAAUGGGGAUCCAUAAUAAACCCCAGGAAGAGUAGCUGCUGCCUUGACAGGAACUAAUGGGGAUCC